rnacentral:rRNA from 1 species
CCUACGGGUGGCAGCAGUGAGGAAUAUUGGUCAAUGGACGAGAGUCUGAACCAGCCAAGUAGCGUGAAUGAUGACUGCCCUCUGGGUUGUAAACUUCUUGUAUAUGGGAGUAAAAUGUUCCACUUGUGGGAUUUUGUAUGUACCAUAUGAAUGAGGCUAGGCUAACUCCGUGCCAGCAGCCGCGGUAAUACGGAGGAUUCGAUCGUUAUCCGGAGUUAUUGGGUUUAAAGGGAGCGUAGGUGGAUUGUUAAGUCAGUUGUGAAAGUUUGGGGCUCAACCGUAGAAUUACAGUUGAAACUGGCAGUCUAGAGUGCAGUAGGGGUGGGCGGAAUGCGUGGUGUAGCGGUGGAAUGCUUAGAUAUCACGAAGAACACCGAUGGCGAAGGCAGCUCACUGGACUGCAACUGACACUGAGGCACGAAAGUGUGGGGAUCAAACAGGAUUAGAUACCCCGGUAGUC